CUGCAACUCGCCUGCAUGAAGUUGGAAUUGCUAGUAAUCGCGAAUCAGAAUGUCGCGGUGAAUACGUUCCCGGGCCUUGUACACACCGCCCGUCACACCAUGAGAGUCGAUAACACCCGAAGCCUGUGAGCUAACCGUAAGGAGGCAGCAGUCGAAGGUGGGGUUGAUGAUUGGGGUGAAGUCGUAACAAGGUAUC
rnacentral:rRNA from 1 species